rnacentral:rRNA from 1 species
AACGAACGCUGGCGGCAGGCCUAACACAUGCAAGUCGAACGCAUCGCAAGAUGAGUGGCGCACGGGUGAGUAACACGUGGGAAUGUGCCCUUUGGUUCGGAAUAACGUCUGGAAACGGACGCUAAUACCGGAUGUCCCCUGCGGGGGAAAGAUUUAUCGCCAAAGGAGCAGCCCGCGUCUGAUUAGGUAGUUGGUGGGGUAAAGGUCUACCAAGCCGACGAUCAGUAGCUGGUCUGAGAGGAUGAUCAGCCACACUGGGACUGAGACACGGCCCAGACUCCUACGGGAGGCAGCAGUGGGGAAUAUUGGACAAUGGGCGCAAGCCUGAUCCAGCCAUGCCGCGUGAGUGAUGAAGGCCUUCGGGUUGUAAAGCUCUUUCGCACACGACGAUGAUGACGGUAGUGCGAGAAGAAGCCCCGGCUAACUUCGUGCCAGCAGCCGCAGUAACAC